UUGAGAACCACUGCUUUAAAUAUCUGGGGACAAGAUAUAAUCCUCAGGCUGAAAGUGAGUGACAACCCGGGAGCCAAGAGGAAAUCACCCAAGGUAAUGUUGUACCCUGGACGUGUGUAUUCUCCUGUCCCUUCCACACCUCCCAAAUUCGUGUGUUGAAGCCCUCACUCCAAAUGAGACUGUAUUUGGAGACCGGGCUGUGAGGAGGCGAUAAGGGUUAAAUGAGGUCAUGGGCGGGAUGCCCUAAUCCAACAAGGUUGGUGCAUUUAUAAGAAGAGGAAGAGACACCAGAACGCAUGUUCCCUCUCCUUCCCCUCCACCCCUCUCCCUUGUGAGGACACAGCAAGAAGGCCAUCUGGAAGCCAGGAAGGGCUCUCACCGGCACUUUGAUCUCGGACUUCCAGCGUCCAGAACUGUGAGAAAUACAAGUGUGUUAUUUCAGCCCCCAGUCUGGGGUGUUCCGCCAUGGCCACACAAGCGGACUCAGUCAGGCAGACUCAGAGACCAAACAACGCGAGUAAAUACUGAGACUUUGUAGAAAGAGGGAGAAAGGUCUGCACGUACACCUCCCGAGCUGGCCGUACGGACGAGCCCACCUGUGGUUUCUGCUCGUCCAGACCCACCCUCACCUCUGACCCGACUUUCUCUGUUGCCUGCAUUCCCGCACAAUCUUAACGAGGAGGACUUUAAAAGUGCUUUCUCAUCUCCACUCCUCUCUCCAUCUCUCUGCCACAGCCCCUGCCCUGCCCCAGGGCAAGCCUUCAUCUCUGGUUCAAGGUCAUGUCCUGAGCGUCCCAGCUGCCCCCGUUUCCUCUGCCUCAGUCUCCCUUCACCUCUGCCCUCGGCUCUGGCCCCGAUCAAUCACCCUAAAGCACAGUCAGGAGAAGCAGGGGUCGGUGGGGAAAGUGAGGACCGAGCCAGCCAGCGAGUCCCUGCGGAGGCGGCAACCACAGGUCAGGGAGGCUCGAGGAAGAUUUAUUGGCCACUGAACUCAGCCGGAGGGCGUGGGGUAAGAAGGCAGAGAGUGUAAUCAAAGUGAUAUUUUAUGUUCCUCCGUCUCAGGAAAAUAAUUGUUCCACUGGAACAUCAUUACACUAUCGUUUUUCUACUCCUGUGCCACUUACAGGGAAAUAGAAACUCACUUUCUUCUUCUUAAUAAGCUGCAAUUUCAAUAACUCUAAAGGCUUUUUCUGAGACAGAGCCAUCCUCCAGUGAUGUGGUGAGGACAGGCGCCCCCUCCAGACUCCCAGGCGGGGGGAAGGCCUGACUGGCUCCUGGGGACAGCUGUCCCUUCUUCUUGAUACUCUCCUUGCCUGUCAUCCAGGGGACCAGCUGUCCCUAUUCGCCCGGGACUAAGGGGUUUUCCAAGAUGCUGGACUUCCAGUGCUAAAUCCAGCAUGCCAGACACUCUCCAGGUGGCUGGGAAACGGGCAGAUGCCAACAAACGAACACUUGCCCUCAGGAAACUUGCAUUCGAGUGGAGAGAUAAACAAUAAACAUACUAAACUCGUUCUGACUGCUAUAGAAGUCCAUCAGGAGGCUGUCGCCGUAACACCAGUAAGCAAUGGCAGGCUGUAGACCAAGAUGGUAAUGGUGGAAGCGGUUAAAAAGAAGCUGGAUCGGGGCGCCUGGGUG